rnacentral:rRNA from 1 species
UAGUGGCGCACGGGUGCGUAACGCGUGGGAAUCUGCCCUUGGGUACGGAAUAACAGUUAGAAAUGACUGCUAAUACCGUAUAAUGACUUCGGUCCAAAGAUUUAUCGCCCAGGGGUGAGCCCGCGUAGGAUUAGCUAGUUGGUGAGGUAAAAGCUCACCAAGGCGACGAUCCUUAGCUGGUCUGAGAGGAUGAUCAGCCACACUGGGACUGAGACACGGCCCAG